AGAGCUUAUAUUUUAAAUAGAAUAGGAGUUUUGUAAACUUCUGGUGCCCUGAAGCUGAGCUC
rnacentral:tRNA from 1 species